rnacentral:rRNA from 1 species
GACGAACGCUGGCGGCGUGCCUAAUACAUGCAAGUCGAACGCAGUGGGGACUGGUGAGUAACACGUGGGUAACCUCCCAUCAGAGGGGAUAACACUUGGAAACCAGUGCUAAACCGAUACUGAUGGAUGGACCCGCGGUGCAUUAGCUAGUUGGUGGGGUAACGGCUCACCAAGGCCACGAUGCAUAGCCGACCUGAGAGGGUGAUGGGCCACACUGGGACUGAGACACGGCCCAGAGUCCUACGGGAGGCAGCAGUAGGGAAUCUUCGGCAAUGGACGAAAGUCUGACCGAGCAAUGCCGCGUGAGUGAAGAAGGGCUUCGGGUCGUAAAGCUCUGUUAUUAGAGAAGCGGUAUCUAACCAGAAAGCAACGGCUAACUACGUGCCAGCAGCCGCGGUAAUAC